rnacentral:rRNA from 1 species
AUUGAACGCUGGCGGCAGGCCUAACACAUGCAAGUCGAACGAGUGGCGGACGGGUGAGUAAUGUCUGGGAAACUGCCUGAUGGAGGGGGAUAACUCCUGGAAACGGUAGCUAAUACCGCAUACCAUCAGAUGUGCCCAGAUGGGAUUAGCUUUUUGGUGGGGUAACGGCUCACCAAGGCGACGCUCCCUAGCUGGUCUGAGAGGAUGACAGGCGACACGGGAACUGGGACACGGUCAAGAUGUCUCUGGUAGUCAGCAGUGGGGAAUAUUGAAGAAUGGGUGCAAGCAUGAUGCAGCCAUGCCGCGUGUAUGAAGAAGGCUUGCGCGUCGCAAAGAACUUUCAGAGGGGAGGCGUUACCCGGAGAAGAAGCACCGGCUAACUCAGUGCCAGCAGCCGCGGUAAUUC